rnacentral:rRNA from 1 species
AACGAACGCUGGCGGCGUGCCUAACACAUGCAAGUCGAGCGAGAAAGACCUUCGGGUCGAGUAUAGCGGCGGACGGGUGAGUAACGCGUGGGAAUCUACCCUUUAGUGAAGGAUACCCUCGAGAAAUUGAGGUUAAUACUGCAUACGUUCCUUCGGGAAGAAAAGUGGCCUCUUGCUGCUGCUAAAGGAUGAGCUUGCGUACUAUUAGCUAGUUGGUAGGGUAAAGGCCUACCAAGGCGAAGAUGGUUAGCCGGCCUGAGCGGGUGUACGGCCACACUGGAACUUAGACACGGUCCAGACUCCUACGGGAGGCAGCAGUGAGGAAUAUUGCUCGAUGGGCGAAAGCCUGAUGGAGCAACGCCGCGUGAGUGAGGAAGGCUUUCGGGUCGUAAAGCUCUGUUGCCAGGGAAGAACGCCUGGGAGAGUAACUGCUCCCAGGGUGACGGUACCUGAGAAGAAAGCCCCGGCUAACUACGUGCCAGCCGCCGCGGUAA